ensembl:lncRNA
AUUCAUUCUGCAUGCAUACAUGUACUAUUCAUGUCAGCUUUGAUUCCUGAAAUCUGCAAGCAACCUUGCAUUUCCCUUGUGCAUAAUGCAAUCAAGUCCGUAUAUCUGCACUGAUUUGUAGACAUUUCCGUGGGCUGGCGCCCAAUCUGGGUAAAGCCUGGUUAUUGCAAGGCCGCCUGGCACUCUUACCGCGCUCUCCUUCCGAAUACUCGCCCCAGCUGCAGCUUCACAUUUGUAUGUGUGUUUAACUCAUUUACUCAGGCUCCGGAGUAGAACGAGGCCUGCAGCGGCACAGCCAGACCCGCCCUAUUCCUAUGUCCACAGCGCCCAAACCGUGCCCGGCACACAGUAUGUACGCAGGGAAGAUCCCGUGGAUUCAUUCUUCCCUCACUUCCUCUUUCUUGCAUCCCCUCAUUUCGUGACUCAUCUCUUUUCCUGGCCCUUGCAGCAUCUUCCUCUCUUCCCUUCCGCCCACUCUAGGCUUACGCACGCCGCGCACAGGCUGUUUCCAGGGGCCAGAAGAUCUCCGUACCGAGAGGGUGCCCUUCACCACGAGAUUUCUAGGAUCUCAGGGUGCUGGGUCGCUGACCUGAUUGCCCUGGAAGCUGGAAAGAAAGUCAACAAACAUUUAUUAAGCACGUGCUAUGUGCCACUCUUCUAGAUGCUGUGAACGAAAUAGAAUUUCCACUCUCAAGAUACAUUCAGGCAUGGAGCCAAAGGAGAAGGAUAAGAAACAGGCGAACAGUUACGUCCAGGUGUUGUUAAAUGCUGGGUAGAGGAUGCAUCAAGAAACUCAUGAGAGACUUUAAAACAGGCAAAAAAGAGAGCUGGAUGUUCUGUCUGGAGCACCCAUCAAGCUGUCUGAUUCCAUAAGGGCUUGCACCUUUCAUUACUUUUAUGUCCAAAUAAUUCUUGUUCACAGAAAUGCAGGUGAAUUUUGUUAGGGUAAAAUGCAAUUGAUCAUUGUCCUGUGGAUAUUGACCAAUUUUGCAAUCUACUUAUAAAUUCAUUUCAGCAUUCCUGAUUGCCAAUAUAUGUGUGUCUUUGAAUUCUCUUUUGAAUUGGCUGUAACAUUGAACAGGUCCUCCCAUUAAUUAAUGACUAAAAUAAAAUCUUUGACAUGUUCAUUUUAUAUUUAUAUCAGAAUUAUGAUUUUAUAUUAAAAAUUAUCCUUUUGGCCAGGCGAGGUGGCUCAUGCCUGUAAUCCCAGCAUGUUGGGAGGCUGAGGUGGGCAGAUCACGAGGUCAGAAGUUCAAGACCAGCCUGGCCAACAUGGUGAAACCCCGUCUCUACUAAAAAUACAAAAAUUAGCCAGACGUCGUGGCACGUGCCUGUAAUCCCAGCUACUCAGGAGACUGAGGAAGGAGAAUUGCUUGAACCCAAUAGGCGGAGGUUGCAGUGAGCUGAGAUCACACCAUUGCACUCCAGCCUGGGUAACAGAGUGAGACUCCGUCUCAAAAAAAAAAAAAAAAAACCAAAAAACCCUUUUAACAGUGAUCAAGAGUGAUUGGGGCUCUCCUAGGCAGGGUGGUUAGGGAGGGCCUCUGUGAGGAGCUGACACUGAGUUCAAAAGGAGAAAGACAAGCACUAUCAAAGCUGCAGAUGGCAGCAUUGCAGAUGAAAGACAUAACCGGUGCAAAGGCUCUGAGGCAGAGAGGAAUAUAGUCUGUUGCAGGGACAGCAAGGCCAGUGUGGCAGGGG